UUCAUGUUUAUCGGAUUGGUUGACCAAAUGAUAAAAAUCACAGGAUAGAAAGCUUUGUGACCUAGGGCCAGAGAGGGAGCACACGUGACAUUACCCGCUCCCCGGCGCGUUCGGCUCCAGCCGCAGGACACCAACCACAGGGACGAUCCCGGGGAUCUGGAGCAGACCGGUCACCUCCACUGAGGCGCAGAAACCUGACGAACCGGCUGAGGAGUAAGAGCCUGAUGAGCCGGCUGAGACAUCCCCGGUUGCCUCGACUGAGGCACGGAAACCUAUCCAACCCGCUGAGGCCUCCCAGUGAUAAGGUUGCUUGUGGCAAAAGCAAACACCGCCAGAAAACUGGAGGAUCGCCGGUUCAAAUCACAGGUCUGACAGGCAAAUCUGAUGGGAACACAGGGAGUGCAGCAGCACCACACAGACACACAGGUAAACAGCCACCACAAUCUACACCACCACCCCAAACAGCACGAAGGUCAACAGGUUACCGUUCGCGGUCCAUCACACUCACCAACCCAUAGGUGUGGAGAGGGAUAGAGAGAGUGAUAAAAGAAGUUGCAGAUUAAACAAUGUAUCUGUGUAGUGGAAAAACACAGACUGUCUGAGCAAGGUGUAGCUUAAGAUUUUAACUUGUUUGUGUGUGUUAUAAAGACUGUGUUUGUAUAAUGGACUUCAGAACAUUCUCUGAAUAAACUGUACUAACCUUUUG
ensembl:lncRNA